rnacentral:rRNA from 1 species
AAUGAACGCUGGCGGCGCGCCUAAUACAUGCAAGUCGAGCGAGAAGACGUAGCAAUACGUUUGUAAAGCGGCGAACGGGUGAGGAAUACAUGGGUAACCUACCCUAGAGUGGGGAAUAACUAGCCGAAGGUUAGCUAAUACCGCGUACGCUCCUUGGACUUCGGUUCAGGGAGGAAAGCGAUGCCGAGGGUAUCGCGCUCUUGGAUGGGCUCAUGUCCUAUCAGCUUGUUGGUGAGGUAACGGCUCACCAAGGCUUCGACGGGUAGCUGGUCUGAGAGGACGAUCAGCCACACUGGCACUGCGACACGGGCCAGACUCCUACGGGAGGCAGCAGUAAGGAAUAUUGCGCAAUGGGCGAAAG